GACUCUGUAGCUCAUGCAGUUGGUUAGAGCGCUGCACCGGAAUUGCAGAUCCACAGGUUCAAUUGCUGCCAGAGGGC